ensembl:lncRNA
AUUUUCUUUGGAUUGUUGCCCAAACUCACAGGGGAAAAUGUAAGGAAAUCUUGUCAGACAGUGGCUUAGCAAGGCUGCGUGGCCUACUAGCCAGGACACAGGGAGAAAGUUUGAAAGUACGACAAGCUUCAGGGACAAGCAUCCUCACAGUGUGUUCAAACAUACACGUGCAAAGAUGCAUUGCUUAUAAAAGAAAGACCCAAAACUGUAAACAGCCCAUCAGAAGGCAACCCGCUAAACACAGUGGGUCUCCAUCCACACAAGGGAAUGACAAGUGGCAUGGUGAUUCAACACAAAACUAAACAAAGCAAAGCAUCAUGAAGUUGGCUGUGUUUCCUGGCCCAGAAAGAGGUCCUCAAUAUAGGCGUUCUUGGCGCAGCGUUUGACCGUGGGGGUGGUUGGAUUGUUUGAAAGAGGGAGGCGUGAGGGGAACUAGAGAUUGAUGACCAAGGUCAAGACGAGGGUGGGUUGCUGAUGAGGAAACAGCCUGUCUGACCACAGAGCCGACAAAGGGGAGCAGGAUUUGAACCCAGAACCCCAUGAUGCCCAUCCUCCCUUCUCGUGGCCGUGAGCCUCCUGGGUGCUGGGCACUGGCCCUGGGACUCCCAUGGUCCUCCGUCCCUGGACCUCGGGCGCCCCUGGGCCGGAGGGUUCUAGAGUGUCUUCAGGACAUCGGAGCGGGGUUAAAGCAGGUUUCCUCUUGGCCGGCCAGAGGUUCCAAGAAGCGCUGGGCCAGCCUGGCCCCUUUUCCUCCGAGGGGAUGGGGCGGGGC